rnacentral:rRNA from 1 species
AGCGAACGUUUGCGGCGGGCCUAACACAUGCAAGUCGAACGCACUAGCAAUAGUGAGUGGCGCACGGGUGCGUAACACGUGGGUAAUCAACCCUUCAGCUUGGGAUAACGACUUGAAAGGGUCGCUAAUACCGGAUACGGCGAGAGAGGCUUCGGCAUUUCUCGAGAAAGCCUCGCAAGGGGCACUGAAGGACGAGCCUGCGGCCCAUCAGCUAGUUGGUGAGGUAAGAGCUCACCAAGGCGAAGACGGGUAGCUGGUCUGAGAGGAUGAUCAGCCACACUGGAACUGAGACACGGUCCAGACUCCUACGGGAGGCAGCAGUGGGGAAUAUUGCGCAAUGGGCGAAAGCCUGACGCAGCCACGCCGCGUGAGCGAUGAAGGCCUUCGGGUCGUAAAGCUCUGUGGGGAGAGACGAAGAAAGCCCGUGAAGAGCGGGCCGUUGACGGGUAUCUCCUUAGCAAGCACCGGCUAACUCCGUGCCAGCAGCCGCGGUAA